rnacentral:misc_RNA from 1 species
GAAAUGCGAUACUUGGUGUGAAUUGCAGAAUCCCGUGAACCAUCGAGUCUUUGAACGCAUAUUGCGGUCGAGGCUUCGGCCGAGACCAUGUCUGCCUCAGCGUCGGAGUAACCCCUCACCCCCCUUGCAAAAGGUGGGUGGACUUGGCCUCCCCAGUCGUCGAUUCGUCGACUGGGCUGGCUGAAAUGUAGAGGUACGGCACGGACCUGUAUGGCACCAGCAAGGUAGGUAGCUCGUCUACUCCAGCUGAUGCUUUGGGCCAGGCGCACCCCCUCCCGCAGGGUGGCCGCCUUGCCCGCCGCGUAGAAGCCCGCCCCCGCCGCCAGGGCCACCCCUUGGGCGUGAGGGCCUUUCUCCUCCCCCCUUAGGAUCCUUUUGGCCAGCUCGGCGUUCUCCACUG